AUUGAACGCUGGCGGCAUGCUUUACACAUGCAAGUCGAACGGUAACAGGGAAAAGCUUGCUUUUCUGCUGACGAGUGGCGAACGGGUGAGUAACACAUCGGAACGUGCCCUGUAGUGGGGGAUAACUACUCGAAAGAGUGGCUAAUACCGCAUACAACCUGAGGGUAAAAGUGGGGGACCGCAAGGCCUCACGCUAUAGGAGCGGCCGAUGGAAGAUUAGGUAGUUGGUAGGGUAAAGGCCUACCAAGCCGACGAUCUUUAGCGGGUCUGAGAGGACGAUCCGCCACACUGGGACUGAGACACGGCCCAGACUCCUACGGGAGGCAGCAGUGGGGAAUUUUGGACAAUGGGGGCAACCCUGAUCCAGCAAUGCCGCGUGAGUGAAGAAGGCC
rnacentral:rRNA from 1 species